rnacentral:tRNA from 1 species
GGCAACCAUAGCAGUAGCUCAGUAGUAGAGCACCUGACUGGCAUGCAAAAGGUGCCAGGUUAAAUCCCUGGCAUUGCCA